CCUACGGGUGGCAGCAGUGAGGAAUAUUCGUCAAUGGGCGCUAGUCUGAACCAGCCAAGUAGCGUGAAGGAUGACUGCCCUAUGGGCUGUAAACUUCGUUUAUAUGGGAGUACAGUGCAGUAUGUAUAUUGCCUUCCAUGGACCUUAUGUAUAAGGAUCGGCUAACUUCGCGCCAGCAGCCGCGGCAAUACGGAGGAUCCGAGCGUUAUACGGACUUAUUGGGUUUAAAGGGAGUGUAGGCGGGUCGUUAAGUCAGUUGUGAAAGUUAGCGGCUCAACCGGAGAAGGGCAGUUGAUACUGGGAGCCUUGAGUGCAGAAGAGGUGGGCGGAAUUCGAGGUGUAGCGGUGAAAUGCUUAGAUAUAACGAGGAACUCCAAUGGCGAAGGCGGCCUGCUGGACUGUAACUGACGCUGAUGCUCGAAAGUGUGGGUAUCAAACAGGAUUAGAUACCCGAGUAGUC
rnacentral:rRNA from 1 species